UUCUGGUAUUUGCUGGGCAAAAUAUUCCUGAGUCUACAGCUGCAGGCGCUGACUUGACGGCUGCUGACUAUCCUCCACCACCCAAAGUCCAACGGACGGAUGGGAAAAUUCAGAAUCUGAAGAGAGGACUGACGUCUCAUAUAGGCUCAAAAAUUCAAAACGAUGUGACAAACAAUAACCUGAUUGAAAGUCUAACAGAUGAAUACUGGAAUCAAAACCAAGGUUUGGUCAAUCAAUUGGUGCAGAACUGUCUCAGGAAAGAGUAUAUAUGGAGAACAGACACUGGGACACAUGCGACGAUGUCGUUAAAGGAUUACUGGGCGAUUUGACAAUUGAGGAAAGUAAUCUUAGUAUGUACAUGACAUUGGGUGGAUUUUCAACAGACAAUAGACGCCACAGUGAAGGAAGGUUCAAAGAUAUUGUGAAGGA